rnacentral:rRNA from 1 species
CACUAGAGCGAAAGCAUUUGCCAAGUAUGUCUUAAUUGAUCAAGAACGAAAGUUAGAGGUUCGAAGGCGAUCAGAUACCGCCCUAGUUCUAACCAUAAACGAUGCCAGCCAGCGAUCCGCCGAUGUUCCUCCGAUGACUCGGCGGGGAGCUUCCCCCGGGAAACCAAAGCUUUUGGGUUCCGGGGGAAGUAUGGUUGCAAAGCUGAAACUUAAAGGAAUUGACGGAAGGGCACCACCAGGAGUGGAGCCUGCGGCUUAAUUUGACUCAACACGGGAAACUUCACCAGGCCCGGACAUUGGAAG